CGUUGUAAAACAUAUGUACUUAUGACUUACAGAGUAAUUGAGUGUACAAAAUAUAAUAGCCAGCGAUUUAGGGCUUUAAAAGAUCAAAAGAAAAGAAAAGAAAAGAAGAAAGAUAAUAUGUUGCGGCAGUUUAAGUCGAUCUAAGAAAAUAGAUAACGGGAGGGGAGAAGGGCAAAGCUAGUUAAUUUGGAAAGAAUCCAAGCGUCAAUUUCAAGCAUUUACAGAGAAUCAAGCGGGCUGGUUAAAGUCGUGAGUUGAGCAAUUAUCCCGCGUUAGGUUCAAUCAGAUACUUCUGGCUAGUGCACUUCUUUUACGCUUCUCAUCGCGAUUUUUAACGACUAACGAAGAUGUACGGCAGUCUGACCGUCUACAUGAAAAUGAUCAUGAUUGCGGUCUGUGUACCGCCUGCCCUUCUUUAUGUUCUUCCGUUAAAGACUGAUGCUAUAAACAACAGCUGUGCUGACUUUCAAGGAGAAACCAUUCGACAUAAUCUUACGUUUGAGCCGGGACCUUCGGUUUGCAGUUUCUGCGUCUGCUAUAAUUCGAGGCUGAAGUGGUGCCAGUCGAUCGUAUACGACCCGCCCGUAGUGAGUAUAUGCUCAUUACUUAAACACUUAACACAACCAGAGAGAAACUAAAGCACACCGUUAA